UUGACUGCCACACCUUUCGUAUCCUCAGGGAAUGAAUUUCUUGGUGGUUCCCGCACGUCCUGGUGUCAUCUGUGAGCUCUCUCUCCAAACCUGGCUCAUUUUCUCAGCCCCUUUUGGCCUCUGGGGUCCUGGGACCUGUGAGCACAGCUCCCGCAGCAGGAUUUUCAACAGGUCUACAAGAUAUAAUGCUGAGAAAGGCUAAUAAAUCAAGAAUUCUCUACUUAGCCACAGAUAGAGAAAAUGGCUUCUGAAGAUGAGAUCUUCUAAAAGCUUGGAGAAGAAAGAACAGAAAUUUCUUUAAAGGCCUCUGGCUACGAUGUCUUUUAACUCCAGUUUAUAGGAACCAUUCACAGGAACCCUCUGGGAAAUAGCUUUUUGCUAAGAAAGCACCACAGACAACAAGCCAACUCCCAGGUUGACUGGAUGCUGCCUACAAAGAUCUUGGAGAUUGCAUUUGCAAAGGCUUCCAGAGAAGAUUGAGGCAUCUAGAUGCAAUGGACUCUGGGUGUCAGAUAAUUGGAGACUUCAUCCUACCGCCAAGGCUAAGUCUGCAGGAAGAGGAGAAGCCCUUGCCACAGCAGAAGACAACCAGGACGUGAUGUGUGAACAGCAUUCUGCCCCCAAAGGUGGCUAAGAAGCUUCUACUUUUCCCCCUUCUUAGCUUUUCAACACAGAAUGGGGAUGUCCAAUCCCUCUUAUAUGGUGGGAUGUUUAAGUAAACACGUACUUUCUGAGGAGGGGCACACGUAUGUGGCGAUAGCGGUAAUAGUAGUAUGUUAUGUCUGUGCGGUGGCACCUUCCAAUAUGUGAGAACACCUGGAUAUCUAUUCUGACCUCAGAAAGACCCAGCUAUACUUAGAGCAAAAUGUUUAUGGACUUUUCUUUCCCAGGAUGUAAUUGAUUCCUCUGGUGACAGGGCACAGAGCUAGUCAGUAGGGCUGAAAGCAGAUAUAAUAAUACUCCUUUAGGACAUGUGGUAGAACUGUUUUCCACCAACCCCCUUUGCAAUGAGCUGUGGCCAUCUGACUUGCUUUGCUCACUAAAAUUUGGGUGGAAAUAACUUUGCCACUUUCUGUUGAAGCUUUAAGAGUUACUGGACCACCUUUUCUCUUACCUGCCAAUGUGACUGGCAAUGGUCUGGUGAUGGCUGCUUCCAAAGCGAUGUCUGACUUGGAACAGAGCCCCUGCUGACCCUUGAUGGACAUACAGGGAGAAUGGGAGAAUUGCCUUAUUUGUUACUGCAGCAAUGCCUCCUCUGUUCUACCUGAUUCUCCUAAGCUCUGGGAAGGGUGGCUUCUAGCUGCCAACAGAAGGAAUCUAUUUUCCCAGUUCAUAGAAACAUCUCCAUAGAUGACUAUUUGAAAAAAAAAAGUCUCACUUUGAGUCCAGGAAAAUAUAUAUGACGUAGGCCACAGGAAAGAACAAGGUUCCAUAAAAAAUUUAACCUUAUAUGGUUUUACUAUGGAAGGAAAGAGAAUUAACCAGUUUUUUUUCCUGUUACUUUGUUAAAGUUUAUUAAACAAAUGUCUUUCUUUCUAAGCCUGUGUUCAAUUUACAGCCUCUACAACAUGCGUAUGUGUGUGCUAUUCCCACUUUUUAUCUGAAUGCAUUUUGUCCCUAAACAGAAUUGAGGUGUGAGAUCGUGAGCCAAUCAUGAUUCAACAGUAAUAAAACCUGGCAGCAUUGUCUAGA